rnacentral:lncRNA from 1 species
GCGGUAAGAAAGUGAAGUUGCGAUUCCAUUCUUUAAGUUUAGAGAAAAUACACAGGAGCAAGCAAGCCCCUGAAACCCAUAAGCGCGCCCCAAGAGAGUCAGUGCUGUGUUAGGUGGAACACUUCUAGUAGUGAGUCAGCAAUUAGGUUUCUCAAUUCUGGAAGAGUUGUGCGCUAUCUUUAAUGAAAGAAGCAACGUCGCAAGCUUAUUGUGUUAGGAGCUAACGUUAGCACAAGGGCGAAACAAAGUGAUAAGAUAAGGGAAUCGAGUUUAGUAUAUAAGAGGGUAAGAUUCCAUGGAUAUUCUUUUGAAACUAGCGCGAAGCCUCAAUUCCAUGAUUUUGCUUGCACCAAAUUAAACCCCGAACUCCCAGAUACCUUAAC